GGCUAGCGUGGCAUAGUGGUUUGAGCACUGGACUACAACUGUCUGGAGGUCAGGGUUUGAUUCCCAGCUUGGCCA